rnacentral:lncRNA from 1 species
AAAAAGAAUUCAGAAAGAGAAGUACGUUAAAGUUAAGCUAUUUUGCUUUGUAAAAGUUAGUGCUAUGCAUGAUAGAAAAAUAAAUCAUAGACAGGGAAACGAGUACAAAAAGGUAAAUAAAAAGAAGACUGUUAUACAAAAUACAUUAAAACAAAAAACCUUCAAACUCCCUAAAAGGAAAUGAAUAAUGUGAUCAGAAAGUGACAGAGAAAGAUCUGAGUAGACAUAGAACCAGAGAAUAUUCUUGCUGAGUUAACAUAGUUUUGAACACAAAAGAGCAUAUGUUACAUCUUUCGUAGCAUAUCCAAUGAGAAAAAUAUAAACCAGAAAAAGGAUAUAGCACUACAUACUGAUUUGAAUGUGCAAAAUGCAGCAUCGUGACAACAGUGCAUAAAAGCAGUAUUGUGAUUCAGAAUACUAUGAACACAAGACAGAAUAGACACUGGAAGUUUGGCAGUUUCUAAUGUAAGUGCUUUUGUAUAUACAAGUAUGAAUAUAGAGCUAUGUGUUUGCCUGAGUAAAUAAACUCGCUGGGAAAAAAGUUCUCAUAGAGAUAUGGUUGCUCUAUUAGGAACUACCAAAUCACAGAAAUAUUCAGGGUUAUUAGAUAAUAUGUUGUUUGUUCAGACAUACUAAUUUUCAGUAUAAAAUGAAACUUACUAUUCAACUCAUGAAGAAAAGACAUGAAAGAAACUUAAUAAAUAUGUCACUAAGUGAAAACCUUUACCAGUCUGUAAAGGCUAUUGAUAUGCCUGCUGCCAACUCUAUAGCAUUCUUAAAAGUCAAAUUUAUGAAGAUCACACACACACACACACACACACACACACACACACACGAUUGCCAACGGACAGGAUCAAAGGACAAGGAUUCAUCUCUGUAACGAACGAUAACUAGGUAGAAUCCAGUGUUUAUACAACUAUUUCUGACCUCAAAGAAACUGCCAUUACAAGCUUGUCAAAAUAGAAUGUACAUAAUACAGACAAUCCAAAUGAAAAUUACAGACUGAUGUUAUCAAUGAUUUGUUUGUGCAGAGCUGUGAAUUAUCACAAAAAUAACAUUAUGAAGGGAGAUGCUGAAAAUAGGAGAAUCACUGCCUGUCGUACUGUUUGGAAGGCUCAAGGUAACACUCUUUCUGCUCAACUUACCGGACAGCCUAAAGCAAACAAAAUUGAUUCAUUAAUAUGGAAAUAUACAACUUUAACUGAGAAGGACAAUUUGAAUGGAAUUGACAAUGCAGAGGUAAAGUGAACUGCCAUCCAGAAAAUGUGUGUGUAAGCUAUAAUCUAAGACAGGGUAUUGCUAAAUGUAGAGCUAAAGCAAUGUGAUAGAGGAAUG